UACGAUGAAGGACGCAGCGAAAUGCGAUAUGUGGUGUGAAUUGCAGAAUUCCGUGAAUCAUCGAAUGUUUGAACGCAACUUGUGCCCAAGGUUUGUCCCGAGGGCAUGCCUGCCUGAGCGUCU
rnacentral:rRNA from 1 species